GAUGAACGCUGGCGGCGUGCUUAACACAUGCAAGUCGAACGGAAAGGCCCAAGCUUGCUUGGGUACUCGAGUGGCGAACGGGUGAGUAACACGUGGGUGAUCUGCCCUGCACUUCGGGAUAAGCCUGGGAAACUGGGUCUAAUACCGGAUAGGACCACUUCUUGGAUGUUGUGGUGGAAAGUUUUUUCGGUGUGGGAUGAGCUCGCGGCCUAUCAGCUUGUUGGUGGGGUAAUGGCCUACCAAGGCGUCGACGGGUAGCCGGCCUGAGAGGGUGUACGGCCACAUUGGGACCGAGGGACGGCCCAGACACCUACGGGAGGCAGCAGUGGGGAAGAUUGCACAAGGGGCGCAAGCCGGAUGCAGCGAGGCCGCGGGGGGGAUGACGGCCUUCGGGUUGUAAACUCCUUUCGCUAGGGACGAAGCGUUUUGUGACGGUACCUGGAGAAGAAGCACCGGCUAACUACGUG
rnacentral:rRNA from 1 species